AGUCUCACCUCCCACGUGGAACCCCACGCCUGCAGGGGCCAGAUUCCGGAUGCUGACCGCUCGCGCGCCUAGGGCCCCGAAAUACAAGUCCCAGCAAGCCGCGGGCGAACCACGCCCACUUCCGGCGCGGGCCCCUGAACUCUGCGCUGUGCGGAGCGGGAUUCUUGGGCGGAGGGGACCAUCUUUGAGUCAGCGACGCGUGUAUUCAAGUCCUCCUCCUCGUUUUUUAUUACAAACAAAUAAGAAUUAUUUUAGGAAUACCUGUUAAGUUCCCAGUGACUGUUUGCAUUCCUUGGCUUAUGGCUCGCUCCUUUAUCUUCAAAGUGCAUGACUGCAACCUCUGCCUUCAUCAUCACAUCACAUGCUCAGAGAUGAAGUUUCACCAUGUUGUCCGGGCUGGUCUCCACCUCCUGGGAUCAAGCGAUGCUCCCACCUCAGCCUCCCAAAGUGCUGGGAUUACAGGCUGAGCCACCAUGCCUGGUCUUCUACUCUCUUUUCAAGCCGCCAACAACUCCUCCCAUCUCACUGAGUGCUGAUGACUUUGCUUUCUGUUACUGAGUAAAGAGAACUUCUAUACCGCCUCACAGGCACAUCUGCCCUCCUCUCUGCAUUAGAAACUGUAUGCUCUACUUUUCAUUCUGAGUCACUGGCCCUAGUUCCUAUAUGAGAAAAUUCUUUUGCACCCUGGAUGUUAAAUGCUUUCUCAUGAAUGAGGUCCUUCUCUCUCUUCUGUAUUUCAAGAUUUUCAUUCUGUACUGAAUUAUCAGCAUACUAAUGAAUACACUGUAAUAUUGUCCAUAAAAUAAAUAAAACCCCUUACCUUGCACCCUAUUUCUCUCCAGCCACUACCUCAUUUCUCUGCUUUGCUUUACAGCAAAACUCCUAAAAAAAAUUGUCCCUAAGGGAUGUUUCCAAUUUCUUUUCUCCCAUAUUCUCUCUUUUUUCACAUGCAAAACCCAAAAUUUAAUUUUUAACUUAAUUUUAAAAAUUGGUAUAUAAUAGAUGCACAUAUUUUGGGGGUACAUGUGAUAAUUUGAUUAAUAUUAUGUGUAAAGAUCAAAGCAGGGAAAUUGGGAUAUCUAUCGCUAAGUAUUUGUCUUUUCUGUAUGCCGGAAAUAUCCAAAUGAUUCUCUUCUGGCUAUUUUGAAAUGUACAGUAGGUUAAUGUUAACCGUAGCUAACCUACUGGUUUAUUGAACACCAGGUCUUAUUUUUUCUAACUGUGUAUUACACCUUGGUAUGUUUUGGCUCUGUGUCCCCACCCAAAUCUCAUCUUGAAUUGUAAUUCCCACGUGUUGAGGGAGGGACCUGUAAUUCCCACAAGUGGAGGGAGGGAGGUGAUUGGAUCACAAGGGACAGUUUCCCCCAUGGUGUUCUCAUGAUAGUGAGUGAGCUCUCACAAGAUCUGAUGGUUUGUGAGAUAUGUUUGGAAGUUCCUCCUUUGUUCUUCUCUCUCCUGCCACCUUGUGAAGAAGGUGACUGCUUCUUCUUCCAACAUGAUUGUAAGUUUCCUGAGGCCUCCCCAGCCAUGUGGAAGUGUGAGUCAAUUAAACCUCUUUUCUUUAUAAAUUACCCAGUCUCAGGCAUAUUUUAUAGCAGUGAAAAAAGACUAAUACAUACCCCUUAACCAACCUCUAUUCAGACCCCUACCUCUACUCUUUCUGAACUCUGGUUACCACCAAUCUACUCUCUAUCUUCAUGAAAUCCACUUGUUUUUUUGUUUAGCUCCCACGUAUGAGUGAGAAUAUGCAAUAUUUGUCUUUUUGUGCUUGGCUUAUUUACUUAACAUCAUGGCCUCUAGUUCCAUCCAUAUUGCUGCAAAUGACAGGAUUUCAUUCUUGUUUAUGACUGAAUAAUAUUCCGUUAUGUACAUACACCACAUUUCUUUAUCCAUUCAUCCAUUGAUGGCCACUUAGGUUGAUUCCAUAUUUUGGAUAUUGUUGCAGUAAACAUGGGAAUGCAGAUAGCUCUUUAGUAUUCCCUUUCUUUUGGAUAUAUACCCAGUAGUGGAAUUGCUGGAUCAUAUGGUAAUUCUAUUUUUAGUUUUCUGAGGAGCCUCCAUACUGUUCUCCAUAGUGGUUGUACUAAUUUACAUUCCCAUCAACAGUGUACAACUAUUCCCCUUUCUCCAAAUCCUCGCCAGCAUCUGUUAUUCCCUGUUUUUCAGAUAAAAGUCAUUUUAACUGUGGUGAGAAGAUAGCUCACUGUGCUUUUGAUUUGCAUUUUUCUCAUGAUUAGUGAUGUUUAACAUUCUUUUAUAUACCUGUUAGCAAUUUUAUGUCUUCUUUUGAGAAAUGUCUAUUCGGAUCUCUUUUGUCCAUUUUUAAACUGGAUUAUUUGUGUUUUUACUAUAGAGUUGUUGGAGCUUCUUGUAUAUUCUGGUUAUUAAUCCCUUGUCAGGUGGAUAGGUUGUGAUAUUUUCUCCUAUUCUGUGGGGUUGUCUGUUCACUUUGUUAGUUGUUUCCUUUGCCGUGCAGAAGCUUUUUAGUUUGAUGUAAUUCCAUUUGUCUAUUUUUGCCUUUGUUGCCUAUGCUUUUGAGGUCUUACACAAAAAAAUUUUUGCCCAGACCAAUGUCCUAGAGUGUUUCCUCAAUGUUUUCUUCUAGUAGAUUCACAGUUUCAGGAUUUAGAUUUAAGUCUUUAAUCCAUUUUAUUUGAUUUUUGUUUAUGGUGAGAGAUAGGGGUCUAGUUUCAUUCUUCUGCAUAUGGUUAUUCAGUUUCCCAGCAUCAUUUAUUGAAAAGACUGUCCCUUUCUCCAACGUAUGUUAUUGGUUCCUUUGUUGAAAAUGAGUUGGCUGUAAGUGCAUGGAUUUGUAUCUGGGUUCUCUAUUCUGUUCCAUUCGACUGUUUGUCUGUUUUUAUGCCAGUCCCAUACUGAUUUGGUUACUAUAGCUUCAUACUAUAUUUUGAAAUCAGGUAUUAUGCUAUCUUCAGCUUUGUUCUUUUUGCUCAGGGUUGCAUUGGCUAUUUGGGGUCUUUUGUGGUUCCACAUAAAUUUUAGGAUUUUUUUUCCUAUUUCUGUGAAGAAUGUUUUUUGUGAAGAAUGUUAUUGGUAUUUUGUUAGGAAUUGCAUUGAAUGUAUAAAUUGCUUUGAGUAGUAUUGUCUUUUUUUUUUUUUUUUGAGACAGAGUCUCUCUUUGUCACCCAAGCUGGAGUGCAGUGGUGUGAUCUCAGCUUACUGCAACUUCUGCCUCCUGGGUUCAAGUGAUUCUCCUGCCUCAGCCUCCUGAGUAGCAGGGGCUACAGGCGCCCGCUGCCACACCUGGCUAAUUUUUUGUAUUUUAGUAGAGACAGAGUUUCACCGUGUUGCCUAGGCUGGUCUUGAACUCCUGAGCUCAGGCAAUCCACCUGCCUCAGCCUCCCAAAGUACUAGGAUUACAGGCGUGAGCAACCACACCCGGCCAGUAGUAUUGUCUUUUUAACAAUACCAGUUCUUCCAGUCCAUGAGCAUGGACUAUCUUUCCAUAUUUUGGUGUCCUCUUCAAUUUUUUUCAUCAGUGUUUUAUAGUUUUCCUUGUAUUGAUCUUUUACUUCUUUGGUUAAAUUGGUUCCUAUGUAUUUUAUAUUCUUUGUAGCUAUUGUAAAUGGGGACAAAUUGUAAAUCAAAAAAUGCUUUUUGAUUUCUUUUUCAGAUUGUUUGCUGUUGAUGUAUAUAAAUGCUACUGAUUUUUGUAUGUUGAUUUUGUAUCCUGGAACUUUACUGAAUUUGUCAGUUCAAAGAGUAUUUUGGUAGAGUUUUUAGGAUUUUGUAAAUAUAAGAUCACAUUGUCUGCCAACAAGUCUAACUUGACUUCUUCCUUUCUAGUUCGGAUGCCCUUUAUUUUUUCUCUCAGCUAAUUGCUCUGGCCAGGACUUCCAGAAUUAUACUGAAUAAAAGUGGUGAAAGUGUGGAUCUUUGUCUGGAUCCAGAUGUUAGAGAAAGGAUUUUCAAUUUUUCCCCAUUAAGUAUGAUGUUGGCUUUGGGUUUGUCUAAUAUAUGGCUUGUAUUACUUUAAGGUAUGGGAUACACCCAGUUUGUUGAGCAUUUUUAUCAUAAAGGGAUGUUAAAUUUUAUUGAAUGCUUUCUCAGCAUCUAUUGAAAUUAUAUGGCUUCUGUUCUUGGUUCUGUAAAUGCAAUGUAUCACAUUAAUGUAUCAUGCAAAUCAAUAAAUGUUUAUUAAAUAAUG